GACGAACGCUGGCGGCGUGCUUAACACAUGCAAGUCGAACGAUGAACGCGGGCGCUUGCGCCCUACGGAUCAGUGACGAACGGGUGAGUAACGAGUAAGCAAUCUGCAACGCAGUCUGAGAUCAGCGAAGGAAACGCCGACUCAUACCGGGUACGACGCGGGCGGGGAUGCUCUCCGAGAGGAAUGACCUUCGGUUAGGGAUGAGCUCGCGGCCUAUCAGCUUGUUGGUGAGGUAACGGCUCACCAAGGCGACGACGGGUAGCCGGCCUGAGAGGGUGACCGGCCACACUGGGACUGAGACACGGCCCAGACUCCUACGGGAGGCAGCAGUGGGGAAUAUUGCACAAUGGGCGCAAGCCUGAUGCAGCAACGCCGCGUGAGGGAUGACGGCCUUCGGGUUGUAAACCUCUUUUAGCAGGGAAGAAGCGAAAGUGACGGUACCUGCAGAAAAAGCACCGGCUAACUACGUG
rnacentral:rRNA from 1 species